rnacentral:rRNA from 1 species
GAUGAACGCUAGCGGCAGGCCUAAUACAUGCAAGCCGAACGGUAAGAUUUGUAGCAAUACGAGUCCUAGAGUGGCGUAAGGGUGCGUAACACGUAUGCAAUCUGCCCGCAACUGGAGGAUAGCUCGGGGAAACCCGGAUUAACCCUCCAUAAGAUCACACAAUGGCAUCAAAGAGUGAUUAAAUCUCCGGAGGUUGCGGAUGAGCAUGCGGUUGAUAGCUAGUUGGUAGUGUAACGGACUACCAAGGCAAUGAUCAAUAGGGGAACUGAGAGGUUGAACCCCCACACUGGCACUGAGAUACGGGCCAGACUCCUACGGGAGGCAGCAGUAGGGAAUAUUGGUCAAUGGGUGAAAGCCUGAACCAGCCAUGCCGCGUGCAAGGAAGAAGGCCUUCUGGGUUGUAAACUGCUUUAGCCAGGGAUAAAGACUCUCAUGCGUGAGAGGCUGAAGGUACC